GACGAACCGUGCGAACGUUAUUCGGAAUCACUGGGCUUAAAGGGCGCGUAGGCGGGCCGGCCAGUCUGUGGUGAAAUCCUCCAGCUCAACUGGAGAACAGCCUCGGAUACUGCCGGUCUUGAGGAAGAUAGGGGUGUGUGGAACGGGUGGUGGAGCGGUGAAAUGCGUUGAUAUCAUCCGGAACUCCGGUGGCGAAGGCGACACACUGGAUCUUUUCUGACGCUGAGGCGCGAAAGCUAGGGGAGCAAACGGG
rnacentral:rRNA from 1 species